rnacentral:rRNA from 1 species
UGAGUAACACGUGGGCAAUCUGCCCUGCACUUCGGGAUAAGCCUGGGAAACUGGGUCUAAUACCGGAUAGGACCUUUAGACGCAUGUCUUUUGGUGGAAAGCUUUUGCGGUGUGGGAUGGGCCCGCGGCCUAUCAGCUUGUUGGUGGGGUGAUGGCCUACCAAGGCGACGACGGGUAGCCGGCCUGAGAGGGUGUCCGGCCACACUGGGACUGAGAUACGGCCCAGACUCCUACGGGAGGCAGCAGUGGGGAAUAUUGCACAAUGGGCGCAAGCCUGAUGCAGCGACGCCGCGUGGGGGAUGACGGCCUUCGGGUUGUAAACCUCUUUCACCAUCGACGAAGGUCCGGGUUUUCUCGGAUUGACGGUAGGUGGAGAAGAAGCACCGGCCAACUACGUGCCAGCAGCCGCGGUAAUACGUAGGGUGCGAGCGUUGUCCGGAAUUACUGGGCGUAAAGAGCUCGUAGGUGGUUUGUCGCGUUGUUCGUGAAAUCUCACGGCUUAACUGUGAGCGUGCGGGCGAUACGGGCAGACUAGAGUACUGCAGGGGAGACUGGAAUUCCUGGUGUAGCGGUGGAAUGCGCAGAUAUCAGGAGGAACACCGGUGGCGAAGGCGGGUCUCUGGGCAGUAACUGACGCUGAGGAGCGAAAGCGUGGGGAGCGAACAGGAUUAGAUACCCUGGUAGUCCACGCCGUAAACGGUGGGUACUAGGUGUGGGUUUCCUUCCUUGGGAUCCGUGCCGUAGCUAACGCAUUAAGUACCCCCGCCUGGGGGAGUACGGGCCGCAAAGGCUAAAAACUCAAAGGAAUUUGACGGGGGGCCCCGCACAA